AUGUGCUAAACUAUUAGCAAGAGUAGAAACUGCGGCAGUUAAGAAAUUGCAGCCUUCCAAAUAGGAACUGGCCAAUCCAUGGGUAUACCAUGAAGUUACAAAGGUUGUACCCGUGAACCAACCCCCCUACGGCGAAAUAGGCACAAGGAAAGAGCAAUAGGCCGGACCAGCCUACAAAAACGAAACGGUCCCUACGUAACCAGUCAUCCAUAAUAUCAAACAAAUCAUUUU